rnacentral:sRNA from 1 species
CUGCAGCCCGACUUGAGCGGAAAUCCUUUUUUGCGUGUACUUCAAGUUCUAUUGAAACUGAAAUCGUCCUGCAAAAAAGAUUGAGAGCGGAAGGCGGAUUAAGC